UACGAAGGUGGCAAGCGUUGUCCGGAUUUACUGGGCGUACAGGGAGCGUAGGCGGUUGGAUAAGCCCUCCGUGAAAUCUCCAGGCUUAACCUGGAAAGUGCAGAGGGGACUGUUCAGCUAGAGGAUGGGAGAGGAGCGCGGAAUUCCCGGUGUAGCGGUGAAAUGCGUAGAGAUCGGGAGGAAGGCCGGUGGCGAAGGCGGCUCUCUGGGGUAUUUCUGACGCUGAGGCACGAAAGCCAGGGGAGCGAACGGG
rnacentral:rRNA from 1 species